rnacentral:rRNA from 1 species
CACGUAGGGCGCAAGCGUUGUCCGGAAUUAUUGGGCGUAAAGCGCGCGCAGGCGGCUAUUUAAGUCUGGUGUUUAAUCCUGGGGCUCAACCCCGGGUCGCACUGGAAACUGGGUGGCUUGAGUGCAGAAGAGGAGAGUGGAAUUCCACGUGUAGCGGUGAAAUGCGUAGAGAUGUGGAGGAACACCAGUGGCGAAGGCGACUCUCUGGGCUGUAACUGACGCUGAGGAGCGAAAGCCAGGGGAGCAAACGGG